AUUGAACGCUGGCGGCAUGCCUUACACAUGCAAGUCGAACGGCAGCACGGGAGCAAUCCUGGUGGCGAGUGGCGAACGGGUGAGUAAUAUAUCGGAACGUGCCCGGUCGUGGGGAUAACGUAGCGAAAGCUACGCUAAUACCGCAUACGAUCUACGGAUGAAAGCGGGGGGAUCGCAAGACCUCGCGCGAUUGGAGCGGCCGAUAUCAGAUUAGGUAGUUGGUGAGGUAAAGGCUCACCAAGCCGACGAUCUGUAGCUGGUCUGAGAGGACGACCAGCCACACUGGGACUGAGACACGGCCCAGACUCCUACGGGAGCAGCAGUGGGAACUUUUGGACAAUGGGCGCAAGCCUGAUCAGCAAUGCCGCGUGCAGGAUGAAGG
rnacentral:rRNA from 1 species